rnacentral:tRNA from 1 species
GCCUGGUUGGCUCAGCCAGUAGAGCAUGAGACUCUUGAUCUCGGGGGUCAUGAAUUCAAGCCCCAUGUUGGGCA